GGCGCGGUGUCAGAGUGGUCUAAUGUAAGCAAAAUUCUAGUAUUCUGGGAAGUGCAACGUCUAACGUGAAAAAGGAGUAUGACUUGAAUUUCUUCAACGCUAUCAUAUCUCUUCGGAGGCGCAGGUUCGAACCCUGCCCGCGUCG
rnacentral:tRNA from 1 species